UACGUAGGGUGCAAGCGUUGUCCGGAAUUAUUGGGCGUAAAGAGCUCGUAGGCGGCUUGUCGCGUCGUCCGUGAAAACCUGCAGCUCAACUGCAGGCUUGCGGUCGAUACGGGCAGGCUAGAGUUCGGUAGGGGAGACUGGAAUUCCUGGUGUAGCGGUGGAAUGCGCAGAUAUCAGGAGGAACACCAAUGGCGAAGGCAGAUCUCUGGGCCGUAACUGACGCUGAGGAGCGAAAGCAUGGGGAGCGAACAGG
rnacentral:rRNA from 1 species